GCCUUGUUAGCUUAGUUGGUAGAGCAUAAAACUUUUACAGUCCCUCUGACUGGGUAAGAGAAUUGCGGCUGUAGGUUCGAUUCCCGUGCGAGGCU